rnacentral:tRNA from 1 species
GUCGUGGCCGAGUGGUUAAGGCGACAGACUAGAAAUCUGUUGGGCUCUGCCCGCACAGGUUCGAAUCCUGUCGGC